GAAUCAUGUCAUCAGCAAAUAGGGAUAGUUUGAGUUCUUCUUCCCCUAUUCCCAUCCCUUUGAUUUCUUUCAUCUACAGCUCUGUCGUGUAGUCUAAGCUGUAGUGGAGUUUAAACAGCAGUAUAGUUUAAACUCUGGCUAGAGUAUCAGGGACUAUGUAGAGUAGAAGGUGAGAGAGGGCAUCCUUGUCCUGUUCCAGUUCUGAGAGGAAAUGCUUCCAAUCAGAAAUGCACUUUGAGGAUGAAGAGGUCCUAGUUCCUCUGCUCUCUCCCCCCACAGCCCAGGUGGGAUGUCUCUUAGGAAGGUGGGGGUCCUCUCCCAAGGCUGCCCCACCUGGCAGAUGGCCUAGUUCCCCUGCAGAGGCCACAUCGGGGAUGGGGCGAGCAGCCACCCGGCGGGCUCAUGGCCAGUGCCAGGCGAGGCAGGUGUGGGCAGCCUAAGGUCCUCAGCAGCUGCCUGGGUAUUGCCACCCCCUUCGUGCUGCUUCCUGAACAGGCCGCUCAGCCAGGACCAAGACCCAGGGCCUGGAAAAGCCACUGCAGAGGCCAUUCCAGCCUCUCGUCGCCCUUCCACUCUGAGGCUCACUGCCCUGCGCCCUCGCUGCCGCCACCAGCCUGGAGCUCUUCACUGUAGCCACCGGACUCCCCACAUGGUCGCCAGAUGCCACUGCAGCAGGAUUCCUGUUACCCCAGCAGGAUGAAGAUGCUCACCACUGGACGCCUCUGUGUCCUCAGCCCCGUUUCCAGACUCUACUGGUGCUGCCGCCACCGUGCAGCAACCAAACUCCCAAACCCCAGCUGGACUAUGAUGCUGCCCACCAAGGGCCCAACGUCAAUGCCCUUCAUCCCCCGCCAUGAUGCCUGACUCCAGUGCCCCAUGCCGGCUCCCGGAUGAAGCUGCAUGUUGCUGCUGCCACCACCAGACUCCAUCAUGGACGCAAGACAGCGAUACGCAGCACUGGAUGCCCACUUCACCCACUGCAGUCAGACUCCUGUGGCACUGCAGGACAGAAAUGAUCAUGGCAACAUCCCUCUGUUGUCACCACAGCAGCUUCUGGACUCUUCUGCUGCCACCGCCACUGUGAGUAUGCAGCAAGGGAUCUCCCAAACUGCAGCUGGAUGCCAACACCUCAGCUGUUGCCACCCCCAUGCCAACUCUCAACUCCGGACCUCCCUCGCCUGAUGCCCUACGCCUGAAGCAGCUACAUGUUGCUGCUGCUGCCACCAGAUGCUACCACUCCAUGAGGCCUCUUCAGUGAUUCCAUCCCAAAGAUGCUGCUGUGCUGCCCAAGACCACAGAAGCUGGGAAGUUGGGCAGUCUCCAUCCCAGUCGCCUCAUCAGUGCCCACCGCUUGCUGCCUGCCUUUUCUCCCCCAGGACCACCCACCAGUCCUUCUGGGCCCUUGAGCAGGAGUUGUGCUGACUCAGGGAACUCAUCCAAGGAAAAUAACUGACCAUCAGGAAGAAGGAAUCACCAGAGAAGCUUGAGGAUCAGAAGGACACUAUCCCUGCUCUGGUCACCCUGGAAGCUGGCUAGCCUGCACACACCAAAGCUUGAGGAAACAGCAGCCCUGCUUCAGCCACUUGAGGGCUGGCUGAUCAAUGCAAGGAGGAAAAUAAACUAAGCAACAGGACAAAUGGACUGUUUCAUCCUGUAAGAGGGCUCUCAUACUGUGGUGCAUUGCCACCCCUUACUUCUGUCAUAUACACAGUCCUCUCCUUGGUCUUUACUACAGGACUGACAACCACCAAACACAUAGCUAACCCAUAAUGGGUGGCGGGGCAAGGGAAGAUGGGAGGGACUUUGGAUUGGGCAGAGGGGAGUGUGGGAGGGGAGGGGAUAUGGGAGUGGAAAGGAUGGUGGAAUGAGGUGGAUUGUAUUAAUCUAUGUACAUGUAUGAUUGCAGGAAUGGGGUGACUGUGCACUGUUUCUAACCAAGAAAUGAAAAGUUGCCUCCAUUUGUGUUUAAUAGUCAAAAUGCAUUCUGCUGUUAUAUAUAACUAAUUGAAAAAAAUUCAUAAAGGACUAAGGCUUAAAAGGAAGUCUGGAUACUUUAAUGGUCAUAAAAAUAUAUACAUUUUUCUUGUAUAAAAUUUAAACUUAUUAAUUAAAUUGAAAAAAAAAAAAGCCAACUAGCACAUGUACUAGUUCAAACCUGAAAGGGCAUUAAGGCUUGGGAACCAAGCUCACUCUUUGGAGGAUGGUUUUUCUAUUCUUGGUGGAUUGAAAAGUUUAAUUGACAUAGUAUGGAUUAUGCUAUUGUUUAUUGCUUUCAUGUUUGUCUCCCUUUUACAAUGAAACAUUGGGUCAACUACAGAAGCAGCUAUUGGGGUGGGGAGGGAGUAACAGAGAGAGAAAUUAAGAUUAUGGCAUUAUAUAAAAUGUUAAGCCUAGACGAUAAUGAUUUUUUUUAUUUAAAGGGUUAAAUAAUGAGCAUCAGAGGGGGUAACUAUGUACCACAAAUACUCCAAAUGAUGUAGUGUCCAAAAGAUCCCCACCUUAAUUGUAACAUAUAAGCCUUUCUCCUAGUAAACAAGAUUUUUUUUUUUUUUUUAAAGUCAACAGGAUUUCUAGAGAGCUCAUUGUGGUUUAGCUCCUCUUUAUUGUAAAGGUCAGGUUUGUCUUUCUUGUAAAACUUAGGUCUGCAGGGCUGGGGUUGUGGCUCAGUGGUAGAACACUUACCUAGCAGGUGUGAGGCACUGGGUUUGAUUCUUACACCACAUAAAAAUAAGGUAUUGUGCCCAUCUACAACUUAAAAAAAAAGUUAUGUCUGCAAUCAAGCUUGUUGAUGUACAAAAGUUACUCUUUCUCUUUUCUUAGUAAAAUCUUGUGAAACCUCUGUCCAAUCUAAGAACAUGGAAUAAAAAUAGCUAUUAUGUUAACCAUUGUGUUGUGUAACCAUUCACUGAGUAGAAAUCACAGAGAACUUCCAUACCUGGGGUCCAGGGAUUUUUUGGCAUUAGCCCCUCUGGAUUACACCAGCUUAAAUAAACCUUGUUCUUCCACAUUUCCAUCCUCCUCUGUCCUACAUCAAUACCUGCUUGAAAUGCUAGAAUGUCCCCAUUCUUGAAGGACACUCAGAGACAGUCUCUCUGACUCUGCCACAGUAUGAAUUCUAUCCAAAGAUAUUAAUCACAAAAAACUAAAGGGAGAUUACACUAUAGUGACCUCCUGGGGGGAGAUUCAGUGUUGCAUGAUGAAACUUGUAUACAUAUAUUGUAUUGCUAUGAUAUACCCUGUAAAGUAUAGAAAUGAUACAUCUGAAUAAACAUGUUUUGUGAGAAAUUGAA